rnacentral:lncRNA from 1 species
UAUGACAUUUGAUUCCUUACAGGGCGCUUUAUAUCCUUUUCUGUUUCAGAAGCUGAAGAAGAAUGAGGUGAUGAUGAGGAUGACCUUCUCAGAGAUGAACAGUCCGUAUCUAGAGAUAGAGAUAAGUGGCAAAGUGGAAGAAAUGAGAAAGGACAGAAAUCUGUAUCAAAAACGAUGGGUGCUUCACUUCAGGCAGCCGUUUAAGUUCCUCCCUGAAAGUUUACUCCUUCAGGAGACCUUCACUGUUGACCUGCAUAAGGGAGUGUACAUCCUUGAGUCCAAAUCCCUUCUUCAAAACAACCGAAAAGCCAUUCAUGUUCUCACCCUGGGAUAUCGACCCCAGAACCCUUUUGUGUGUUCCUCUUUAAUUCAUUCUUUAUAUCUUGAGAAUAUUCCACAUGACUCUGAGAUUUGCAUCAGCGUCCACAGCAAUCAGACUGUGCAGGAGCUGCAGGGGAGAAUUUUAACAGCUAAAACGGAGAAGUUAGUAGUGCUUGGGCAGGUCCAACUUCACGGUGAACAAGGGAUCACCAUCAAAGCCAACCUGAGUCAGUUACUGCAGCUGAAGUUUCCCACCACCAUGAGCCUAGAUGUGGACUUGCUGAGAAAUCACAACAGCAGCGUGGACUUUGCAUACACCGCGAAAGGGAAAUUGACCACUGAUGCUAAGAGAUAUUAUAAUGCAUAUUUAUCAGCAGAGAGAUCUCCUGCUGGAUAUAUCAGCAGCUCUGUGUAUUUGGAGUCUAAUGGAAAGAAGAUUGCUACACUGGAUUCUUCGCUAGCUAACAUUUUGGAAAUGGAUCUUCGUGGUGUUGGUUUUAAUGUAAGCUUUGAGCAAACUCUACUUCCAGAGCUCACUGCUGACGGUCUACUUCGUCUCGGUGCAAAUUUAUCCUCAGACAGGCUGUCUGUUCUGUGGGCUCUGGGAAAGAAAAAGAGGAUGAUCCAGGCGCAGCUGAGUGCAGCUUUAAUACGAAACCCCAACCUUCACCUGAGCUUUUCAGGGGACCUGAUUAUCCCAAUGAACAGCUACACCAUCCUCCCACAGGUUUCUAGCCUAGCAGGACUUUUAAAUAAGUCCAACGAUCUCACUGAGGGGCAGUUGACAGUAUCAGUGGACAGUGGUGUGUAUGGUGUAAAGCUGAGACACAGUCAUGAGGACACCGGAUGUGAAGAUAAGAUGAGCGAGUGUGAAAGUGCCCGGCUGUGUGUGCUGGCUGAGGAGCGUUCUCUCUGCAUGAACAUCAGCACCAGCUUCAUACAGCACGGUCAGCGGGGUCUUCAGGCUCAGCUCCAUCACUCCUUCCCUUGGCUGCUUUCUGCAGGGCUGCCGUUCAACAGCACUGCAGGAGUGUUUGUGAACCGGAGUGAGGAUGGGCUGCUGACUGAAGUGGAACUGCAUGCUGGGUUCAAAGAGCUAAAGAUCAGACUUCAGAGAGGCGUGCACAACUCUACUGGGACCACUGGACAUUUACUGGUGAACUUCACAGGGGAGUCGAGCCAAGACCACCUGCGGGGCGUCUGCUACACACAGGCUCUGGAUCAGACGCUGCUGGUCAACAUAUGGGUCAACCUCAAUGAUUCCACUGGUUUUGAACUAGAGAAACCAGACACGUCCUCACUGUCACUUGAGAUCCAGGGCCACCACCUAUCUUCCAGCACCGGGCUAAAGGUGAACGUUUCCCACAACAUCUCUUCUUUAAAACCCUACAUACCGUUUGUGUUCCACGCUAAGUCUCAGCUGAACCAUUCAUCCUCUUCACUUGAGGCAGCAGCAGAGUUACUGGUGGGAAGUAGUCUGAUGUGUUUUGAGGGGCAGGUGGGCUACACGAAGCUUGGAUUCAAGCAGGUAUUGGACGUCUACCACGCUUUCCCACAGCUGGCCUCAUUUCCCAGCACUGUUUUAGUACACACUGUGUACGCUGGGCAAAACGACUCACACGUUCUGAAACACCAAACACAGUGGAUGCAUCAAGACUCAGCUGGACCAGCAGAAAAAACAGGAGCUUCAGAUGAACCUGGCUCUCAGAAGCAUGGAUGGGGGUUAGAGCUGAGGCUGGAGAGGAAACCUCAUAGCAGACGGGCGGAUGUGCUUGUUGAUUGGACGAUGAGUGGACAGCAGCAGCAGAAUGAGAGCAAGGAUGGACACUCACCAGUGAUCAGAGCUUCAGGAUCUUGGAAUGAUGUGGGUAAAGAGAUUGAAGCCACACUGGAGCUCCAGCAGCUUUUCACACCCACUCUGUCCAACAUCCAUUUACACACACUCUCACACAGCCUGGAUCACGGACACGGCAGCAACAACCAGGUCCAUCUGUCCUGGGACCGAGGGACCCCUCUGAAUGUCACUGUGACUGUGAGUCAGCAGCACUGGAGGCAGGAGUCCAGCAGGGGGCAGGCCUGCCUCUACAUCUCACCUGGACAGAUGCAGUCUGUGCUCCCUCUGCCGAACGCUCGAGGAUGCGUCUCAGUGUCUCAGGAGGGAAAAUCUUCCUACUCACAGAGUGCUGAGCUCAAGUGGAGUGACAAGAGGAUCACACAGAGCCUAAAAUACCAGAGAGGAUCCAGAGGGAUGCACACUGUCCAGGUGGAGGCAGGGCUCCAGAAUGUCUCUCCCAGCCCAUGCCCCUCCCACUCGCUGGUGGCCCAGAUGCACACAAACCUCAGGGACGUACUGGAGCACCAUGUCCUUCUGGGGCUGUGUCCUUCACAACCUGGAGUAUCUUGGUCUGGAUCUCACCGGGUGAACUCAGGGAAGGACGUGCUGUACAGCCGGACCGGUCUGUCUCUGUCUGGUCAGGCCGUGCAGCACAGCACCUUCAUCCUGGCUCUCAGGAACGCCAGCAGCAGCCAACGCAGCAACUACUCCCUGCUCACUGAGGUCAGUGUGAUGCUCACUCAACCAGAUAAGAAUUAUCUUGUUAGCAAUCUAGUUAAAGGUAAG